ACAACACUAACCUCACAAACACACACUAAGCUAGGUUGUGUGUAUAGGUCAGAACAAAAGAUCUACCAUUUAACUGACAUAUAAGAUUGGUUCUCGAAACCAUAGGACCCACUGGAAAUGGUGACCUCACAGGAAGAUGCAUCUUGUAGGAGGCAGCUGUGAGGUCUGGUUCCCCGACGUGCUGCAGCAAGUGCCUUUGCCCUGCCUGUGGGCUCCCUCCAUGGCCAACUCUGCUAUGGACACCAGAGUCCUCUGCUGUGCGGUCAUCUGUCUUCUGGGGGCAGGUCUCUCAAAUGCCGGCGUCAUGCAGAACCCAAGACACCUGGUCAGGAGGAGGGGACAGGAGGCAAGACUGAGAUGCAGCCCAGUGAAAGGACACAAUCAUGUUUACUGGUAUCGGCAGCUCCCAGAGGAAGGUCUGAAAUUCAUGGUUUAUCUCCAGAAAGAAAAUAUCAUAGAUGAGUCAGGAAUGCCAAAGGAACGAUUUUCUGCUGAAUUUCCCAAAGAGGGCCCCAGCAUCCUGAGGAUCCAGCAGGCAGUGCGAGGAGAUUCGGCAGCUUAUUUCUGUGCCAGCUCACCACCCACAUUGAUGCAGAGCCACAUCCUCUCAGUCCACAAACCUCCUCCAGACCUGCCUUGGAAACAGCGGUGGACCAGGAAGGGAAACACGUUACCUGUACAGUGAACAGAUAUAGGCCACCUACAGAAAAAGAUUUGUUAUAAUUUGCUUUGAUGAAACAAUUUCAUAAAAUCAAAAGGCAGACAAAAGCAAAGUCAUUUCAAAUAUAUGCGCAGACUAAGUCCAGCCUCACCAGCUUGGAGUAUAAACCCUGUGAUUCCACUGCAGUUUUUGCCCUUUGAUUUUCUAAAAUCAUUUAAUGUACUCCUGCCCCUCCCUCACUUUACCCAAAAGGAGAAAAACCCAGAAAAUCUUCCAGGAAGACAGAAGAGGGACACCGGCUGGGGAGCCUGAGAAAGAUCCAGAGAGAUUUCCAGAAAAAGACCAACCCUGAGACCCCAGCAAGGCUGCAGAGAAGAUGGAUUCCAAACUUCAUGCCAUUUAAAGCACCAGACAUGUAAUUUAAAGAAACAGUCUUCCAAAGGUAGUGCUUUACAGGGAGGGGAAAAAAAGGCAAAGAGGAAGAAAGAGGGUCUUCUGGCAAUUCAAUAGUGAGGAGAAAAAGAGGAAAAAGGGGAAAACUGAGAAUUCUGCAAAACAAAAGGAAAUCACAAAUCAAGAGGACCCACAACCAGCCCCACUACGAAAACAAAGCUCACUAAGGAGUCUGGAUUUUGCUAGAAUGAUGGCCAAAGGAACAUUAGACUAGGAAUUUUGUAAAACACCUCAAUAACACGAAAAUGAGCAAGAUGAAAGUAAUACCCGUACAACAAAGGAAAACAUCUCACCUCUGUUCCCUGUUCCCUCACCUCAAAAGCAAUCAUGAGUCAGAAGAAAAUGUAAGUCUACACUCCAAACAGAAAUAAAUACACUCAAGGAAGCAGCUGAGGAUAUAAGUGACCAUAACCAGACCAGGACUUUAAAAACUCAGACUACAAAUGGCCAAAAUGGGAAGACAUCAAAAAAAAAAAAAAACAAAUUGAUUGAACUCAGGAAGGACAUGAAAGAAAAAGACAAAGUUAUCCCAGUCAUGAAAAAUAAAAGAUGACCAAGGGAAAAUAAACCCAAAUGAAAAUUUAGUCAGGACAUUGAACAAAGACAAAGAAACAAGUAGCAGAAUGAGAAGGACAUGAGUGAAACCAGCCAGUUAGAAGGCGGUCAAAGAAGGCGAGGUCUUGGUAUGAUUGCAUGAGGGGCCUGGAACAGCAGCGCUGGGCUCUGUGCAGCAGGACGGCUAAGCAGCAGGUUGUCACAGUGGCCACAGCACUACUGGCCAGACCCCAGGAGUCACAGUUUCCCUGAGAGAGCUGAGGGCAUAAACAAUGAUAAGUUCUCCAGGGGAUGGACUUCUUAAAUACUCUGAGUUCAUCAUUACACAUUCUAUGCAUGUAGCAAAAUACCACAGGCACCCACAAAUAGGUACACAUAUUAUGUUUCAAUGUUUUUUUAAAAAAAGGAAAAAUAAAUGAAUUCCACAUUCUUGUAUAAUCAGAGUGUCUACAGCGCUCCUAGAGCAACCCAAACCUUACGGUUCCUGGAAAGAUAAAAACCAAUGGGCCAAUUGGGGUGAAACUCUGGCCCGGAAACGUGGGGUGCCAGCCCCCUCAGCACAGAUGCAAUGCAGAGUUAUGGGAGGUGCGAAUGACUCUGCUCUCUGUCCUGUCUCCUCAUCUGCAAAAUUAGGAAGCCUGUCUUGAAUAUCUCCAGGAACCUCCCACCUCUUCAUUCCAGCCUCUGACAAACUCUGCACAUUAGGCCAGGAGAAGCCCCUGAGCCAAGCCUCUUUUCUCAUUCUCUUCCAACAAGUGCUUGGAGCUGCAAGGAGGCCCCCUUUGCACUAUGA